AAAAUACAUCGCUGUCUAAAAAAAAAACAAUCAAAAAUAGAAAGAAAAAAAAACCAAAAAUGAGUGUGAGUCAAAGAGUUUCUUUUUUCCCUCGCUUUUCGUUUCCUUCUCUU
rnacentral:ribozyme from 13 species